rnacentral:rRNA from 1 species
GACGGAGGAGGCAAGCGUUGUCCGGAAUCAUUGGGCGUAAAGAGCGCGUAGGCUGUUUUUCAAGUCAUAUGUGAAAACCUCAGGCUUAACUUGAGGAUUGCAUAUGAAACUGGAAGACUUGAGUGCAGUAAGGGAAAGUGGAAUUCCUGGUGUAGCGGUGAAAUGCGCAGAUAUCAGGAAGAACACCGGUAGCGAAGGCGGCUUUCUAGGCUGCUACUGACGCUGAGGCGCGAAAGCUAGGGGAGCGAACAGGAUUAGAUACCCUGGUAGUCCUAGCCGUAAACGAUGGACACUAGGUGUGGGGAGUUAUCGACGCUUUCCGCGCCGAAGUUAACGCAUUAAGUGUCCCGCCUGGGGAGUACGGCCGCAAGGCUAAA